GAAGAGAACUAUAGAAGUACUUUUCUGUUGUGUCUGUGAAAAGGUCAUGUUUACUGCCUAUACACCAAAGGGAAUCUAACUGGGUAGAUUUACUGUAAUACUGGGAACAUGAGUACUAAAGUACACAUUGAAGGCAGCCUACUUGUACUUUGAGUAUUUACAAGCUAUGCCAAUUAUUAAGACUUUGUCAAAGACAUUGCCUGCUUAGAGACCCCCAGGAGUCUUGAUGUUGAAUGUUAGUGAUGAACUGAAGGAUUCAGGGUGUUCCUUUAUAUGUUGAGAAACUUAUCCUAAAAUAAAAAAUAAGUCUUUAAAAAUCUUCUUGGAUAAGCUGUAAAAUGCAUCGUCACAAAGCUGAAAACAAGGCUGCUUUUCUGACACUCUGAAAAGGGGAAUGAGAGGGGAAAACACCAGAGCAGGGGGAAUGAGAGGAGGAAA